AUUAUACUCCCUCCAUCCGGAAAUACUUGUUUUAAAAAUGGAUAAAAUGAAUGUAACUAUAACUAAAACAAGUCUAGAUAAAACCAUUUCUACGACAAGUAUUUUCGGACGGAGGGAGUAAUAC
rfam:Triticum urartu cultivar G1812 contig1171121, whole genome shotgun sequence.